CGCUGCCCUUAAAUCCCCUUUCCUCUUCAAUUACCUCUGAAACCUAAAGCUAAACCUAGCCACCGCCACCCAAACUAACCCUAAUCCCCUUCGAUUCUCACUCAAUCUAUGGACUCUCAUGGUUGUUUGAGACGUAUACCGGUCUCCUAUGUCUCCUGGUUGCCUAUUUUCAUGAUUUCAUGGAAAGAUCUCAAAGAGAUCUAGUCCAGACCUCACUCAACUUCUAUCCAUGAUCUUUUUCCAGCCAUCAUAGCCGUUUGAGUCAGAUCCAUGGCUUUUCCGGCUAAAACUGGUAACGAUCUAAUGUUCUCUCAUCCUUCGUUGGGUUCUCUGAAGCCCUAGCUCUUGAGAUCUUUACUUUUCUUUAAGAUCUGUCUUCGGUCUAGAUUUAUCCAUGGGUUUUAACGGACUUUUUUCUUCGUCUCUACUAUUUUCCGAAAAAUACCUAGUUAUAAACCUUCCGAUCUUUUUAGAUCUGUGAUGGAUCUAUGGGUUUCUCAAGGUUUUCACUUGUUUUCCUCAAAUGUUUCUCCGAUUUCAAACAGUUUCUUUAUUUUCAAACUAGGGUUUCAAAACCCUUUUUGCAAAAAACGAUUUCUUUCUGAUUAUUGUAAUUUUUAGAAUGUCUAAACAUUAUCUGAGUCUUUCCUUUUGGCUCGAUUCAUUUUUAUCAAGAAACCCUAAUACUUCUAGGGUUUAUGUGUAUUCUAUAUGUCUUAUGCUUCUCGUUUUGAUUUGUUCUUAAGGUUUAUUUGAUUUUGUCCGAAACCGUGUUAUUUAUAGGUCCGACUAUUUUUUUACUGCGUGCUCGCACAAUUUAUGGUGAUUCCGUAUGAUCUCCUUAUACCUACACCUUUGAUUCUGUGUAUUUUCCUUGUAACUCUAUACUGAUUUUAGAAAUUGCUUCCUUACCCUUGUGAUACUUUCCUUAGUUAGUACUAAUUCCCUGUGAUUUUGAAUCUCAUCCGUGAUUCUUUGAAUUAAUUUUCAGAAUCAAAUUGUACUCUACCCUGUUUAUAUGCACAAUAUGAUGUUAUUAUACUUUCCUUACUUGAAAAUAUUCUAUUCUUAGUCCUAUUACAUGCAGCAUGCUUUUACUAUUCCUGUUAUAGUAAAAUCAGUCUUACAAACAAUUAUUUUCCUUAUUUGAUACAACUUAUUCCUGUUUGAACUAUGACUCCUUAGUUGAAGGGAGUUCGGGUCUUUAAUUGAUUCUAAUUUGCAUUAUUUCUAUAAUUAUGAUAAAUCAGUACUUGUUACCUUAUUUUCCUGCCUAUUUAUAAAACUAUAAAUACUAUACCCUCUCUUCUUUAAAGACACGAACAACUAGAUCAGAACACACACAUACACAUUCAAACUCUCUUUUGUUUCUCUACUACUUGUUCUAUUGCUUUGUCUAGCUGACUAAAAGCCAAUGCUAUACUGUGGAACUGUGAUUGCUUUACUUUUUAUGCACUUUUCUCCAUCAACUGGUAUGUUCUUAGUUUAAAUUUUGAAACUCAACUCUAUGUGUUCCCUUAUUUGUCAAUCCUUGUUUCUUUCGGCACCAACGUAAUGGCUCAUGCUGUUAAAUUGUACUUUUUGUUUACUGCUUUACUCAGCAUGCUUAAAAUUCUGCCCUUCUUUGUUCAAAUGUGAUCAACAUGUUUACUUGUUCCUGUUUAUGUCCCUCAACUAGCAUGUCUCCUAAUGUACUUAAUUCAUAACUAAUUAUGUGUUUCUGAUUUGCGUCCUCUAUGUCCCUAGCCCCUACUCCCCUGUUUGUAACUGCUGAAGUUGUACUACUCUCUGAACUUGUUUUGUGUGCGUUGUUGUUGCUCCCAUCCCCCUUCCCUUUCAAAAACUAUUUUCACUAAUGCAACUCUUCUGCUAUUUUACAAACUCAUAUCAAACGCUGAUUUCAAAACUGUUUUCCAACUCAACUCCUUUGAGUCUAUGUCAAGCACUCUCACAUGCACUCUUAGACUACUAGGUUCUGCCCCUCUUGUGUGAGCCUUGCCUUGGGACCCUAGAGCUCCUUCUAAACUUGGACACAUAAGAGCUGGCCCUUCCAAACUGCACUCACUCUGUUUGGUUAUGCAAUCUAGGUGUGAGCACUGCCCGAGAUCCCUUGAGGUCCUUAGGGAACUCUAACACACCUAGAUAUGAGAAAGACUAUGGAACAAUAUUGGAAUUUGAGGUGGUUUAUUACAUAACUCAUAGAGGAAGUCAAAAUAAGGAUUUCUAUAGUUGUAACUUCUUAUUUUUCAUUUCUUAUGCAAUUCUAUCACAUGGUCUGUAAUAAUUUGUAAACAAGUAUCGGGAUGCCUAGUGAAAAGGGAUAGGGUAAAUAUGCAUGCCAUAACUUGUUAAGGGUAGAAAACAUGUUAUUAGGUUUAUAUUCCUAAUUGUGCAAUAGAAAGCAUGCUUAGGAUUCAUACGAUGCAUUAGAAAUCAUGUUCUUAGGACUUAUGUUUCUUGCUUCAGCACCUCACUCAUUGAUCCAUGCUUUAUGUCUAUGCAUUUAGAAAUCUUGCUCUUAGGGAAAUUGUACAAUCCUGCCAUGUGCAUUUAGAAAUCCUGCUCUUAGGAAAUUCUACAAACCUGCCAUAUGCAUUUAGAAAUCCUGCUCUUAGGAAAUUCUGCAAUCCUGCCAUAUGCAUUUAGAAAUCCUGCUCUUAGGAAUUCUACAUCAUGAGUUUUAUACAUGCACCUUAGACACCAUGUUCUAGGAUCUUAUUUGCACAUGCAUUCACACUUAGUGUAAAUUGUUGAUUAUAAAAGAGGUAAAAAAUAGCUUUACACUUGAUUAUCCCGUUUAAAAUAACUGGUAACAAUCUCUGCGCUUGAUUAGAAUAGCAUGCUCUUAGGGUAAAAUAAGCUCCAAACCGUCUUUUAAUAAUUCUGAAUAACUGCUGCAUCUCGUUUUGCGCCUAGGCAAGCCUUAGGUAAUGACUUAAGUAAAACAAGAAUUGCCUUUGUUUAAUUAUCAACUGUUAAAAUCAGUAGGCAAACCUGAUUCAGACUUCUUUUCUGAGUCACGUAAUAAAUUUGGUUAUGACGUUACAAAUUAACCACCCUGCUUUAUGAUUUUAAAUUUAGACCUUAAUUGUGUAUGAGUCAUGUUGUCUACGUGCAUUAUUUGUGGAGGCAUAUCUGAGCCUUCUGCUUGUUUUCUGUGUUUUCCCUCCUUUAAAUGCAGUCCUACUUGUUUUGUAUGUCGCCUUAGUAUUUUGCCUUUGAACCUGAGGGUCUGCCUAGAACCUCCUUAUAGGAUAGGAGUCCUAAAUUCCUCCGGGAUUGAUAGGAAGGGAUGGGUAACAGCAUGCAAUAAGAGUCGAGACCAACCUUCGCUUAAUUACCUUUACGGGGCGGGAAAGGGUAGAUAUGGAUAUAAUGACUGGUGCGCUAAUAACAUGUGUAUCCUCUCUUUUGAGGAGUGUCAUACCGGGUAUUGCAUUGAUGUGAUACAUAUUACAAACAAACCUAGGACAUCCCUUUACAUUCAUAAGCAUGCUUAGAUUGUAACUCUUUUCAAAACCUUGCUUUUAUUAAUCGCUUUCAAACACUUGUGUAUUUAAAUUCCCUUUUAUUUGAGCCCUACUUGUCUGUUUGCUAAUGUUAUAAAUUCACAAAAACUGUCUGGUAGGGAACCACACUAGUGGAUCCUGAGGGGUGCCUAACACUUUCCCCUUAAGAUAAUUUUAAGUCCUUACCCUAUCUCUGGUUAUCAAACGUAUUUUAGAUGAACCUUGUAGGUGCCCUAACACACCUUAAAAUUGUUAGGUGGCGACUCUUCAAAAAUGAAAACCUCGUUCCCAAAAGGAAUGAGUUGUCCCAUACCCAAUAUGUCAUGAACCCUGUUUCCACGGAAGGGGAAAAAAGGGGCGCGGCAGGGACUACAGGACGGUAUCCUGAGAGAUCCCCAGUUGUUAUCUCUAUAUUGAGCUGUAUUCCUUCUGUGAUUAUUUCGUUUAUGUUAUAGUUGUUGCUACUCUUAUUACCACAUGUUACUUUAAUACUGUUUCUUUUCCUUGUACAUUAUUGUAUAUGACCGGUAGGGCCCUGACCUUCCUUGUCACUACUCAACUGAUGUUAGGCUUGGCACAUACUGGGUACCGCUGUGGUGUACUCAUGCCCUUUCAUGCACAUAUUUUCCCCGUGUGCAGAUCCAAGUUCUUCGACUCAGCCCUACUAUCCUUGAGGCGAGGCGAUUUUUCUGAGUCUUCGAGGUAUAUAUGCCACGUCCGCAGACCGAGGAGUCCCUCUCCAUUCUCUCUUGUAGUUAUAAACCUUCUGUAUUUUCUUUUAUUUAGAAAUUCUGCAGUUAGACACUUGUAGUUAUUCAACAGUUUGUCAUUUCGUGAGAUUCCGGGUUUUGGGAAGUGUUCGGUUUGAGAGUUAUAUUUGUAUAUGCCGAGCAGUAUUUUAGACCUUCAUUAUGUUUAUUAUGCAG
rnacentral:lncRNA from 1 species